rnacentral:rRNA from 1 species
UUGACAUCCACGGAAUUUGGCAGAGAUGCCUUAGUGCCUUCGGGAACCGUGAGACAGGUGCUGCAUGGCUGUCGUCAGCUCGUGUUGUGAAAUGUUGGGUUAAGUCCCGCAACGAGCGCAACCCUUAUCCUUUGUUGCCAGCGGCUCGGCCGGGAACUCAAAGGAGACUGCCGGUGAUAAACCGGAGGAAGGUGGGGAUGACGUCAAGUCAUCAUGGCCCUUACGGCCAGGGCUACACACGUGCUACAAUGGCGCAUACAAAGAGAAGCGACCUCGCGAGAGCAAGCGGACCUCAUAAAGUGCGUCGUAGUCCGGAUUGGAGUCUGCAACUCGACUCCAUGAAGUCGGAAUCGCUAGUAAUCGUAGAUCAGAAUGCUACGGUGAAUACGUUCCCGGGCCUUGUACACACCGCCCGUCACACCAUGGGAGUGGGUUGCAAAAGAAGUAGGUAGCUUAACCUUCGGGAGGGCGCUUACCACUUUGUGAUUCAUGACUGGGGUGAAGUCGUAACAAGGUAAGCGUAGAUGA